rnacentral:rRNA from 1 species
UACGUAGGGUGCGAGCGUUAAUCGGAAUUACUGGGCGUAAAGCGUGCGUAGGCGGUUCGUUAAGUUCGUUGUGAAAGCCCCGGGCUCAACCUGGGAACUGCGCUUGUUACUGGCAAGCUAGAGUGUGGCAGAGGGGGGUGGAAUUCCACGUGUAGCAGUGAAAUGCGUAGAGAUGUGGAGGAACACCGAUGGCGAAGGCAGCCCCCUGGGCUAACACUGACGCUCAUGCACGAAAGCGUGGGGAGCAAACAGG